UACGUAGGUGGCAAGCGUUGUCCGGAUUUACUGGGCGUAAAGAGCGCGCAGGCGGUCGUGCAAGUCGCGUGUGAAAGCCCCCGGCUCAACUGGGGAGGGUCACGCGAUACUGCUCGACUUGAAGGCAGGAGAGGGAAGUGGAAUUCCCGGUGUAGUGGUGAAAUGCGUAGAGAUCGGGAGGAACACCAGCGGCGAAGGCGGCGACCUGGACAGGUACUGACACUCAACUACGAAAGCGUGGGGAGCAAACAGG
rnacentral:rRNA from 1 species